rnacentral:rRNA from 1 species
UACAGAGGGGGCAAGCGUUGUUCGGAAUUACUGGGCGUAAAGGGCGCGAUAGGCGGCCCGGCUAAGUCGAACGUGAAAUCCCCGAGCUACAACUCGGGAACUGCGUCCGAUACUGGUGGGCUUUGAAAUCCGGGAGAGGGAUGCGGAAUUCCAAGGUGUAGCGGUGAAAUGCGUAGAUAUCUGGGAGGAACACCGGUGGCGAAGGCGGCAUCCUGGACCGGCAUUGACGCUGAGGCGCGAAAGCUAGGGGAGCAAACGGGG